rnacentral:rRNA from 1 species
UACGUAGGGUGCAAGCGUUGUCCGGAAUUAUUGGGCGUAAAGAGCUCGUAGGCGGUUUGUCGCGUCUGCUGUGAAAUCUGGGGGGCUCAACCCCCCAGCCUGCAGUGGGUACGGGCAGACUAGAGUGCGGUAGGGGAGAUUGGAAUUCCUGGUGUAGCGGUGAAAUGCGCAGAUAUCAGGAAGAACACCUAUGGCGAAGGCAGCUCUCUGGGACGGUACUGACGCUGAGACGCGAAAGCGUGGGGAGCGAACGGG